AAUAGAUACCCUGGUAGUCCUAGCCGUAAACGAUGGACACUAGGUGUUGGUGGUAUCAACCCCACCAGUGCCGAAGCUAACGCAUUAAGUGUCCCGCCUGGGGAGUACGGCCGCAAGGCUAAAACUCAAAGGAAUUGACGGGGCCCCGCACAAGCAGCGGAGCGUGGGGUUUAAUUCGAUGCAACGCGAAGAACCUUACCAGGGCUUGACAUGACCAGGAAUCCGGCGGAAACGUCGGCGCCCCGCAAGGGGCCUGGCCACAGGUGUUGCAUGGCUGUCGUCAGCUCGUGUCGUGAGAUGUUGGGUUAAGUCCCGCAGCGAGCGCAACCCCUACCGUGUGUUGUAUCACUCACACGGGACUGCCGAGAGAAACUCGGAGGAAGGCGGGGAUGACGUCAAGUCAGCAUGGCCCUUACGUCCUGGGCUACACCCACGCUACAAUGGCCGGUACAACGGGCUGCGAAACCGCGAGGUGGAGCAAAUCCCUUAAAGCCGGUCUCAGUUCGGAUUGUAGGCUGCAACUCGCCUACAUGAAGCCGGAGUU
rnacentral:rRNA from 1 species